rnacentral:rRNA from 1 species
GCGAACGGGUGAGUAAUAUAUCGGAACGUACCCUGGAGUGGGGGAUAACGCAGCGAAAGCUGUGCUAAUACCGCAUACGAUCUAAGGAUGAAAGCGGGGGAUCGCAAGACCUCGCGCGAUUGGAGCGGCUGAUAUCAGAUUAGGUUGUUGGUGAGGUAAAAGCUCACCAAGCCGACGAUCUGUAGCUGGUUUGAGAGAACGACCAGCCACACUGGGACUGAGACACGGCCCAGACUCC